GUCAAAAUAUUAUACAUUCACUUUAAUAAAUAUCAAACUUCUCUUUUAAAAAAGGUCACACUGCUUAGGACUUUACAUACUAUUGACUAGAUGAUCCAAUUCAUUAGAUAAUAAACUAGAUUCAUGACUGGUUCUACAAUUGAGAUUCAACAUUCACAAUCAAUUAGACAAUAGGAUUCCUGAGAUUCACUAGUGGCUGCAGCUUGGACUCCCUCCACCUUGCUUUCUUCUACCUUGAUCUCUUCCUUCAACAUCUACUUUGGUGACAACGAAAUUCAACAACCAAUUACAGAAAUCUAUUAAUUACCACAUAGCCAACUACUAUUAACCACACUAAAUAGACAAUAAACAAUAUUGCUCUCAAAACAAAUUAGAAUAUAAAAACAAUUUUAAACCUAUCUUUAUGUUAGAGACAUUGCUCACGCAAGUCUUAAAUCACAACUUAGAGGCUCAAAAGUCAGAACAGAAAAAAAUCUAUGCCUGACUAAACCAAGCAUUGCGAACAUGGCCAGCAGCCAAUUCUUGAUCUCCUUCACUUUAAGAAACGCUGCUUGGUCAGGAUCAUUGGCUAACCCAGACGAUCAAAUGGACCUCCUGGGUGGAGCUUGUUCUCCAAAUUCUAGGGAACAACCAAAAAAUGAUCAAUUUGCUCUCAUUGAAAUAUUCUACGAACUAACAAAACAAAUUUAGAGGUCCCCAAAUGCAAUUGUUGUGACUAUAUCAUGCUGUAACAAAUCCUACAAAUAGAGACCACCAAAAAUUGCUGCACAUAUACUAUAUAACUUAAAAACAUAAAAACUUAGGAAAGUUUCACCUUAGCAACUGAUUUUUGCAAACAAAAAACAUAAUAUCAUUCAUCUCUUUCACUUUACCAAAGAAACAACUAUCAAGUUACUGAUUCACUUUUAAGCGUUUGAUAAAAUAACCUUCGGCCAACUUGUUACACUACCAAGAACUUUUAGCACUUGUUUGGUUUGCGGAAAAAAAUUUUCUUCACUAGAAUAUUUUUCCUAAGAAGAUGAUUCCUAGGAAUAUGAUACUUAGAAAAAUAGUUUUAGCAUGUUUGGUCGAUCAUGGAAAAGUAGCAUAUCUCAGAGUGGCUUAUAUUUGGUUGAGAAUCUACUUUUCUAGAAAUGUUGUAUGAAAUAUCUAUUAUAUCAUUAAUAAAAAGAAAGACUUUACCUAUAAAUUUUGAUGGCUUAAAGAUACUUUUUUUUUGAAAAAAAGGGACUCCAAUUUUCAAUUGGUGUGAAAGUAGCUUUCUCAUAUCUCUCAUGGGUUUUUCUUCUCCAUGAAACAUAGUAAUCUUAUUCCUAUGGGAACGCUACUUUUUCAUUUCUCUCCUUUGAAAACUCCAACAAAUAAGAGGUAGUUAUUUAUUUUUUCAUCGACCACAUUUUUUCUUCUUUUUCUACAAACCAAAUGAGUCUUUAAGAUAAAGUUACAAAAGAAAAUAGCUUUAUAUCAAAAUUCAAAACAACCUUCAACAAAUGAAAAUAAUAAAUCAGUCCCUAAAUUAGCAUAUAAAAAUAAGGUCCANNNNNNNNNNNNNNNNNNNNNNNNNNNNNNNNNNNNNNNNNNNNCAUCAAAGUUCCAAAAUUUGCAGUCUCACCAUGACCUUGAUUGGACUUGAUAGAAAAUAGCUGGAAAAAAAAUAUCCCUUUUUCACUUAGAUAUAUAGUUAAUAUGCAUAAAAAUUACAAUAUUCUUAACAAUGUAAAUACAAUAAUAAAGAUGAUUAUUACCAGCACAAGCUAAUCAUCAGUAUUAAUAGCAAUAGUUGUUUCGUAAUCUUCAACCUUGUAUUUGUAUGAGGAGGUGGGCUAUCUACAUAUGAAAAAAUUACAAAAUUAAAAAUUAUAAAGUUUUAAUGCAUUAGUAUAUAAUAAAGUUUAUAAAUGUUCUAGAAAUUGAAUCUACAAGAUAAGACAAUAUGACUUGAAGCCAAUCGUAUGUGUAUAUCAAUGCCUCAACCAUAUCCGAGGNNNNNNNNNNNNNNNNNNNNNNNNNNNNNCUGCUAGCAGUGUUGUAAGUCGACUCAGAUGCAAAGGUAGAGAUAGGAAUUACUAAGAUAUCAUGAAUCAUCUUAGACAAUAUUGAAUAUUUUGAUUCAUUGAGUCUUUAAUAGUCUAGAAUAUCAAAAUUUUCAUCUCCUAGUGGAUGAACCUAGUCAAAAAAAAGCAUCGCAAGUUAUUUUUAUUAACAAUAUUGACCUAUACUUUAAUGCAGACAUUCAAAUUAGAUAUCAUGUAAAAUACUUUGUCUUCCAAAUAAGUCUCUAAUUCUGACUUGGACAGUUGAGCAAUUUCUUUUAGGAAAAAUCUUGCCUAAAAAUACUCUCAUCUCGUCUUCAGUUUUUAGGAUGAAGUGCUGACCAUUACACCAAAAGCGACCGCUGAUAGUGAAGGCGCUACUUUAUUUCCUUAAACCAUACCAGCCAGCGCCUCAAGUCGGCUACUGGGCGACACCACCCAUGGGUUCAGGGACCCCACCUAGGGCAUAAGCCACCUACUAACCGGUACAUCCAUGCUGGCAGGUGGCAGGACUGACUCGACCAACCCGGCCUCUGCCAACGUUGACUCGGCCCCUCAGGCCGCCGCCAACAAGAGGGAGUCUUAACAAGAUUAUGCUUAUCAUCUCAUAGAUAGAUAGAUGCUGUUCCUUAUCAUCUUAUCUUGACAAAUAUCAUAUUUAUCAAUUUACUGGUGAUUGGACACCACCAUAUCGUCUUAUCUUAAGGAAAUGACUAUUUUAUGUAAUAUCCUCAAUGCCAUCCCUUCUCUAUUUAUGUUUUUAGGAUUAUCUCCCCUUGUGCACAAAAUUUCUCUAGAAUACAAGAGGCCAUUUCCAAUAGAAAGAAUGGUAACAAUUCCUUGCCUUAUUUUCUUUUUACAUAUCCUGCCUCCAAUUUCCCAAGGGAAAUAUGCAAAGGCUAGUUUUUAGAGGUCACGAACAAUGCCAUCACAAUCAAGACCACAACGGCCACAAUUAGAUUAACCAGGAGCUGCUUUCGCUCGGUGGACUUCGGUAAUGUUUUCACAUAGAGACGCCCAUUUUCAAACCUAGCUUGGAACUCGUUGCAUUUCUUUGGGAUUGGGAAGACACUGCCAAAUCGACUCCAUCGGUUGUCUCCAAGAGGACGCUCCCCACUAACAUGCAGUUUUCCAGAGUAAUCUAAUUGAACCCUGACUUGCUCUUUCUUAAAUUCUACGAGCAAACAGAGAAAACGCAUUACAAAAUAUUCAUAAUCCUAUAAUUAAUGCAAAAAGGUUAGUUUAAACUAUAUGAGGCAUGACAUAUUCAAAUUCCAUGAGGAUUUCUACUUUAUAUUUGCAAUAUUUUUAUUAGAAACUUAUCACUAUAUGUACAAAGUAAACUAGUUCGUCAAAGCUUUAUAUAUUACUUCAACUUAUGUGAGAAAAGUAAUUAUAAAUCUACAACUUUCUAACUCCAUUGAAGGACCUACAAUUACAAUUGAUUGAGUUGAAGAGAAAGAAGGCGUGCCUGGGAGAUCGAUGACGAGUGUGUCAGUUCCUUCCUCUCGAACCCAUUUGUGUGAAGGGACGAAAUCUUUAUACACAGGCUGAUCAGCGGCACCUCCUGUUGCCAUGAGAGCCUCCUUUGCUUUGUUUCCCUCUUAGAACUUCUAAUGUUUUCGAGUGAAUGAAGAUGGAGGCCUUGCAUGGGUUCUAUAUAUAACUGCAUGAGGGAGGGAUUUCCAUUGUGAUGUGUUAAUCAAUGUUGAAUUAUUCCUUCAUGUGUUUUCUUAGGGUUUAGUUUGUUAGAAGGCAGGGAUAUUCCUUUUUUGAUUGGGUUUGUGUGGAGAUCGCCUCAUAGCAUGGGUAAAGGUGGAUGUUCCUUGUUUGCUUUGCACUCUUCUGUUCUAAAGAAUCUAUAUAUUGCUUGAUGAGGAGACGGAUUUCCUUUGUGUUGUGCUAAUCAAUAUCAAAUUAUUCCUUCAUGUGUUUUCUUAGGGUUUAGUUUGUUAGAAGGCAGGGUUAUUCCUUUUUUGAUUGGGCUUCCAUGGAGAUCACCUCAUAGCAUGAGCAAAGGUGGAUGUUCCAUGUUUACUUAGCACUCUUUUGUUCCAAAGGAUUUGUCAUGCUUUAAGUAAAAUACUAUGAUAGCUUUGUCACACCCCCAACUGAGAUACCGAGCUGGGGUUGCGUCAAUUGCCGCAUACUCGCAAGAAACUCUCUCUAUAAACAUGCAAGACAUCUCAACAUGAUGUCAUAAAUAAGCAGCUAAAUGAUUAUCAUUCAAACUUUAAUUUAAAUAACUAAUUCAAAAUUAAAUAUCUCAAAAAACCAAUAAUAUUCUAAAGUCUGUCAUCAACUUUAAUAAGAACUUAGUUUAAAUAAAAAAAAUCAAAAUUUUGUCUCUAGUCGUUCUCCCAUAACAAAUCCUAAAGUCAAGCUAGUUUUCUAAAUCUAUAAAAAUGGUAGAAUAUAGAUUAAUGAGCUAGACAACCUACUAAGCAAUGAGCACUUUAGCCAAAUAAAUAGAGUAAGAAGAUAAAUAAUUAUAUACUAAAAAUAAGCAUGCAAAAAUAGAUCAAUUAAAAACCAAAUGUAAAACUAUCCGGUCAUUUAAAAAUUCAAAUUGUCAUUCAUAAAUCAAUUUUUUUAAAAAAAAUAUCAAGUUUAUCUCGAUAGCCAUUAACUAUGACCAUAUUUAUACUCUAUGGCUGAGCUAGAAUAUAAGCUCAGUAAUAAUUAAAGAGCAAAUAUAUAACUCUCACUAGUAGGGUAUUAAUAUACCAACGAAUAACCCUUAUUAGCAGGGUGCCAACAUAUAACCCUCACUAGUAGGAUGCCAAUGCAUAACCCCCACUGGUAGGAUAUCGAUGUACCAGUAUAUAACCCCUACUAGUAGGGUAUCGAUGUACUAGCAUAUAAUACCGACUAUUGUGGUAUCAAUAUACCAACGCAUAACCUCCACUGGCAGGGUAUCGAUACAUAAUCUAGCUGGAAAACCAUCAUGAAUCAAAACUCUCUUUUCAUCAAUUAGUUUUAUAUUCCAAAUUAAAAAAUACACAAAACCUAGUUUCGAAACCAAUACCUUCAACUAUGUAUCAAAUAAUAUUCUAUAAUAAGAUAUACUCAAUGAAUAAAUAUUAUGCUUCAAGUUCAUAACUCACAAAUAAUACGACUUAAAAUUCAAUGAAAUAAAUAUUAUAUAAUUUGCCCAUAAAUCUAGAAAAAGAGUUACAUUACUUACCUUGCAAGUGAAACCAACCGACAGAUCCAUUUACUUCCGAAAAUUCCUCUCAGAGCCUAAUAUUCAAAUUUAUAUUUUUAUCAAAAUUUUAUCAUGAUUAUUUUUAAGAAUAAAAAUCCUAAAUUCCAACACCCUAAUAGGAUUGACCAAAGUGGGAGUGCCCGACCUCCCAGUCUGAUCAUAGUAAUUUUAUCUCAUCAUGAUUGAACUAGGGUGCAAAUAUUUCGGCAAAGUUGGAGAUGACCAAAUUUAACACUGUCAGACAAAGACCAAGGUGGAGACUGGCACGCCGCCCGAUGGCCAUAAAUUAAGGCCGCUACACCAAGGUCGAUUUAAAAUCAUAGAGAGGAGCCAUUUGUUGGAUUCAACAAUCCUAAAGAUAGAGUAACUUUGUAAAGAGUGAAAUAAGAGAGGAAAAUAAGAGAGAAACAAGAGAGAGAGAAAGGAGAAUAAGAGGAGAGAGAAACUGAACUCUCUCUUUUUUUCUUCUUUUUCUUUCUCCUUUUAUUCUUUUCUUCUUUCCUUGGCUUCUUGGCAAAACAAGGGAACUCACACUCGCCCAAAAUAGAGGAGGGGCCUCCCGGCCGGUGGUGGCCGUGGCCGGCAACGGUGGAGCUUCAUAGCUUGAAGGCUCACAACCAUGCAUGGCAGUGGAAUGACGGCUAGGCGAUGCAAGAAAAGUUAAUAAAGCUGCGCAAGGGUCUCUUGGGCUCAAUCAUUUUUGGAUCUCAGCUUGCUCGCCAACAAUUGGGGCUCCGGUGUAGGCUAGAGACCAACGCAGGGGAGAGGUUGAGGGCCUCGGCGAUGAACGCCAUCAGCAGAACUGGCCAGAAAAAGGAAGAGAAGGCAGCCAAAAAGGGGGACCAAAUAGGCGUUUUCCUAGGGUUCCCAACGAAAUCCGGUUGACAGCGUUUCAAUGGGGAAGGGAAGACCAAGAAAGAGAAAUAGAAAGGGAUUGAGGAUUUCAUAUCUUGCCUCGAGUGUGGUUUCAUGGCAUGCAUGAUGACAAUCUUUCAGGAAGUAGAAGAAGAGAAAAGAAAGGAACUCCAACGAUUUCCAACCUUGAGGACUUGGGGUCAGUGGUGGAAAUUGAAAAGAAGCCGGGGGAUGGGAUUUAUAGGGGCGAAGGUGAGGGAGUCCUAUCGAUGCUGGACUCCUACACGUAGUUGUAGAAGAAGGCGACUCCCAUUGAGAGCCCGCCUCUUCUUUCCNNNNNNNNNNNNNNNNNNNNNNNNNNNNNNNNNNNNNNNNNNNNNNNNNNNNNNNNNNNNNNNNNNNNNNNNNNNNNNNNNNNNNNNNNNNNNNNNNNNNNNNNNNNNNNNNNNNNNNNNNNNNNNNNNNNNNNNNNNNNNNNNNNNNNNNNNNNNNNNNNNNNNNNNNNNNNNNNNNNNNNNNNNNNNNNNNNNNNNNNUGAGGGAAUACUUUUUUCAAAUCAAGUCAUAACACUUUUUAAAUCAAUUUUUUUUUCGAACAGGUUUCAAAAUAAUUCAGUUCACCAUGCUUUCGCUGCGUAACUAUAAUCUGAACCCACCAACACACCCAUCUCAAGUCUAGAUUUCUAAGUUUUCCACUUAUAAAUACAACAUGCAUUGCUAUAUAUUAAUCCUUAUGAGCACUUAGUGUUCUUAUUCAAAAUCCUUAUAAACACUUCCAAAAUUUGAAAGUUCAUAUCUUCUUUUGACAGUCAAUCGAGAAAUGUUAUGCAGCCACUUAACUCAUACUAGUGUAAAUUCCAAAAUUUCGUAUCUCCAACAUUGUUAGAUACGUAAAUAUUUAUUUUUUUGUUUAUAUAUAUAUAUACAUAUACAUAUAUACAUAUAUAUAUAUAUACACACACAUAUAUAUACAUAUAUAUAUAUAUAUAUAUACAUAUAUAUAUAUUUCCAUCACCAUGUAAGUCUUAUUUACAGAAUCAUUACUUAAUGUGUCCCCUACCAACGAUUCAAUAUAUAUCUUAGUUUUCAUAGGCUUCUCAACCUAGUAUGUCGUCUAAUAAAAUUGGUGGAGAUGAGAAAAUUAGCGACACUCGAAUCACAUAAGAAUAAAUAUUAGAACCAGAAAAUAUAUGUCAUCAUUGGAUCAAGAGCCUGUGCAUCUUAUUGUGUGAGACCAUAAACCCUUCCUUGGGUUUGAGGUUUCUGGCUUUCAUCCUUGUUUUGCUCCGUUGUCUUGCCAGGUUCAUUCUUCUUUGUGGACAAUCAGCUAUUUUGUGGCCCUUUUGACCACAACCAAAACAUACACCAACAUUCCAACAACAAUCAUUUACAACAUGAUUUCCACCACAUUUGGAACAUUUAUUACUAUCCAUUUGCCUAGAGUUAUCACUCACUAACCUCUUGUUUGAACUCUAGAUGUUUCUAUUGCUCUAUCCCUGAGAUUCAUUUGACCUAUUCCUCUUUUUUUGAUUCCUUUCCCUUCCUGUUCAUUCUUCAUUGACUUUCCUUUCAAUUAUUAACGUUGUGUUUAUCAUUGUUGCAUAAGUAGUCAAUUCAUAUGGCACUACUUGCUUCAUAAUUUCGGUCCUUAGUUCCAUUUCAAAUUUAUAUACUCGAUCUUGCUCAUCCUUGAUGAACCUCGAAAUAAAUUUAGCCAACUCAAUAAAUUUAGCUUCAUAUUCUACUAUGGUCAUACCUCUUUGUUUCAAAUGAAUGAACUCCUGCUCCUUUUGAGUCCUCACACUCCGAGGGAAGUACUUGUCAUAAAAUGCUCCUCGAAAUGUUUCCCAAGUGAGUGGAUCCCUAUCUUAUUCAUAUUUAUGUUCCAGCAUUAGCCACCAAUUGAACGCAUCACCUUGCAACAUAUAGGAGACAUAAAGGAUCUUUUUAUCAUCGCGACAUCUUUGAAUAGAAAAUGCUUUCUCCAUCUCCACAAAGUCAAUUUUCAGCUUCCAAAGGUUCUAUAGUCUCUUUGAAAGAUGGUGGAGCCAGCUUCUUAAACUUUGCAAUGUUACUUCGAUACUCUCUACCACUCCCCAUGUCCUUGUUAUGGCUAUGUUUGCACUUGUUGCAUUUGCUGCUAUUGCAACAAUUUUUGCUACAACUGUUGCUAUGUUGACAUCAUUUCAACUAAUGUUUGCAUUAGUUGAGCCAUAUUAGGCUCCGAUUGCUCUGUUUGAUGGUUCCUAGGAGUCUUGAUGACUCCCUCCCAAUAGGGAGCGUUAGGUAACCCCAACAGGAUCACCAUGGUGAUCUAAGAUCCCGAUGAUCCAAAUGCUGGGGUAAUUUGAUCCCAUUGAUCUAAGAUCAAUGUGUUUGGUAGACCAUGGUCUAUUGAUUAAAAAUCUCCGAAUAUCCAUGAGUAACUUAUUUGGUAUGGUACGGAAAUCCAAGAUCACCGACCACAUAAUACCAUAAAUACCCCUGAUAUAUUUUAGAUGAAUUUUUUAUGCAUUUUUAAUUCUCAUGAAUCAAAAAUUUAAGUCAAUACGUCAAUUCCUAUAAUAGCUCCAUAAUUUUGUCACAUAUUCUACUUUUAGUAGCCUUUAUCAUAUAUUUAUUAAUCAUAUAAAAUAUAUUAUAAUAAAAUAUUAAUAUAUUUAUCAAUAUAUUAAUUAUUAAUAUAUUCUAUAAAAAUAUAUUUAUUACUCCUAUAAAUUAUUAAUCUUAUAAAAAUAUGUUAUUUUUCAUUAUAGAAUUAAUAUUUUUAUUUAUAUUUAUAAUAUAUUUUUUAAUACUAAUAAUUAUUUUGAUUAGGAAAAUAAGGUAAAUAUGAGUAAUAUAUUAAAUAUUUUCAUUAUAUAAAUAUAAAAUAUAAUAUGUUAAAUAUAUAUAUAACAUUGACAUAAUAUAUUGAUGGUAUAUUGAUAUAUCAAUUUUUCUGCUAAAUUGAUGGGUAUUUUUGUCUUUAACUUUCAAACCAGGAUCACUGCCCUGGGAUGAUCUUGGAUUUUUGACCUCAAGGACGGAUAUCCCAUCACCAAGUUGGGCGGUGAUUUGAGGAGUGGAGGUGAUUUAGGAUCAUCGUGGUGCAACCAAAUGUGGUGAUUUCAUCAUCUCCAUCCACAUCACCUUUAAUUCUGGGACGAUCAUCCCAUACCAAAUGCCCCCUUAAGGAAUGCCACCGACAUGCUAGGGCGUGCCACCAUCGCCCUUUUCAUCCGACAUGGGGGCAUCUUAACUUAUAGCCAUCAAAUAGUAGCAAACUCUUAAUAAACUUAUUAACUGAUUAUGAUAACUUAUGUUGCAUGAUCAUAAAUUAAUGUUUCAAUGUUCCUAGCGUCUACCCAUUAACACUUAUUCAAUGUCUGAUUCUAUAACUUAUAAUUUAUCUACUUCUGCUCUGAUACCAUAUUAAUUGUGACACCCCCAAAUCGAGAUCGUGAGCCGGGAUUAUACUCAUUGAAAACUCUCUUUGCAAGCAUAUAAGGCAUCUCAACAUAAUAAUAUAAACAAGUAGUGGAAUAAAUUUACAUAAUUAACAUUCAAACUUUAAUUUAAAUAACUAAAUCAAAAUUAAAUAUCUCACAAAAUUAAUAAUAUUCUAAAGUCUAGCAUCAAUUUUAAUAAAAAUCUAGUCUAAAUAAAGAUGUCAAAAUUCUAUUUCUAGUCGUCUCCUAUAACAAAUCCUCAAGUCAAGCUAGUUUUCUGAAUCUUUAAAAAUAGUAGAAUAUCGAAUAAUGAGUUAGAUGCCCCAGUAAGCAAUGAACACUUUAGCUAGAUAAAUCAAACAAUAAGAAAAGUAAUAAUAUUCUAAAAAUAAGCAUGCAAAGUAAAUCAAUUCAAAACUAAAUCUAGACACUAUCCGAUCAUUUCAAAAUUCAAAAAUUUAUUUUAGAGCCUAUUAAUCAAAAAUUAUAGUUUUAUCAAAAUUUUGUUAUGAUUAUUUUUAAGAAUAAAAAUUUUAAAUUCUAACAUUCUCAUAGGUUGACCAAGCGCGAGUGCCCGACAUCCUGGUCAGUAUGAUCAAGAUGAUUUAAUCUGAUCAUAGUUGAACUAGGGUACAGAUGUUUCAACAAAAUUGAGGGUGACUAAAUCUAAUAAUAUCAGUCAAGGGCUAAGGUAGGACCAGUAUGCCACUCAACGGCCAUAAAUCGAGGCCCCCUAUAUCAGGGUAGAUCCAAAAUCAUAGAAAAGAGUGCUUUGCCUGGCUCAACAACCCUAGAGAGAGUAACUUUGUAGAGAGAGAGAGAAAUAAAAAAAAUAAGAGAGAGAAACUAGAGAGAGAAAGUGGGAAGAAAGAGAAAGAUAGGAAUAAGAGAAGAGGGAGAAACUAAACUNNNNNNNNNNNNNNNNNNNNAGAGAGGAGAACUAACUACUCUCUUCUUCUUUUCUUUUUUUAUUUCUUCUUUUUCUCUCUUUUUUUUUCUUUUCUUCUUUCCUCGGCUUCUUGGCGAAACAAGAGAGCUCACGCUUGCCCUUCUCCAAAACAGAGGAGGGGCCUCCAGCCGGUGGUGGCCGUGGGAGGGUGAUGGAGCUUCAUAGCCUGGAAGCUCGCAGCCAGGCACGACAGUGGAACGACGGCCAGGCGAUACAAGAAAAAGAAAAAAAAAAACAGGGCCGAGCAAGGGUCUUUUGGGCUCAAUCAUUUUUGGAUCCCAACUGCGGUUAGGGCCUCAACGAUGAACUCUGGCAGCGGAAACGACUGGAAAAAAGGAAGAGAAGACGGCCAAAUUGCCAAAAUAGGGGAAAAAAACAUGGGUUUUCCUUUUGAUUGGUUUUCCGACGGUUCCCAACGGAAUCUAGUCGGCAGCGGUCCAAUGGGGAGGGCAAAGACCAAGGAAGAGAAAUAGAGAAGGAUUGAGGACUUCAUACCUUGUCUCCGGUGUGGUUUCGUGGUUGGCACGAUGACAAUCUUCUGGAAGUAGAAGAAGAGACUCCGGAGAUUUCCGGCCUUGAGGGCUUGGAGUCAAUGGUGAAAAUCAAAGAGAAGCUGUUUGAUGGAAUUAAUAGGGGCGGAGGUAAGGGAGCCCUGCCGGGGUUGGACUCCUACACGGAGUUAGAGAAGAAGGCGACUCCCAUCUAGAGUCCGCCUCUUCUUUUUCUUUUCUUUUUCUCCAUUAGCUCAAUUGGGCCGAGUGUUACAAGCUUUCUAAAAGAUAUUUUUUAAUAAAAUAUAAAAGCUAUAUUAAUUACUGGAUGCUGUUAUUUAUGCAGAGUGAUUAUUAUGAUCAUGUAAUGAAAUGGCAGGUUAUUAUUA
rnacentral:lncRNA from 1 species